rnacentral:lncRNA from 1 species
CAGCCCUCUGCUGUGAGCGGGUGGGAAGCCUCGCAGCCUGGCUUCAGCUCAGCUCUGUUUGAAAAUCAGAGCCCGAUUUUCAAACAGAUUUUAGGGAUGUUGCCCACAUACUUUUCUUUCUUUACCGCAGGGCUGGUAUAGUGUGUUUACAUAUUAGUUCAAUGCUGUAAAUGUUUAUCUUGGAUUCUCUAAAACAAGAACUGAAAUGAAAAUAAAAAUCCAUCGAUUCUCUCAAAAAUGUCACAGAUAAACCUUGUCCCUGCUUCAGCCCACGAAGAAGCUGCACAAGGAAAGCCUGAGCACAGGAAGAAAAUUUGUGGUUAUAGGAACUUGGUGUUAUGGAAAUAGUACCGGGACAGGAGAGUGCCACCAUGCCCUGGGAGGGUCUCUUCAAGCGGGCAUCCAUCCUGCCAGGAGCCAGAUACACCUCUUCAGACAUGAAACCGAAACCAAAUUCUUUCAGAGAUUUAUUAAGGAAAUCAAACUAUAAUUACUGGUGAGUUCCACCCUGAUGUAGCAUGAGAUGUGGCUGUCCGCUUAAAGCAAUAAAAAUCUGUUUGGUUUUGCCA